CUUUGUUUAACAUUUAAAGUUGUUCAUUCAUGAAUUUCUAUUCCAUCCUAAUCCGAAUGGAACUCAAAGCAAGAUUUCAUCUUCUCUAGGCAAUGGUUUCGUGCACAAGAUGGAACAUAUACUAUCUUGCAAUUUCCAGCAAUACAUAAGAAAAAGCCGCCAAGAUUAGGAUAUGGACGAACAAAAAUUAAUCAAAAGAAAAUUUUCUGAGAUGCAGCGUUUUUCAGUAAAAUUCAUUUGUCAAUUGAAUUGCGGCGAGAGAAGAUUCAUUUGCCAAUUGAAUUGCGGCGAGAGAAAAUUCAUUUGCCAAUUGAAUUGCGGCGAGAGAAGUGAUGGGUAUUUUGAUGAGAACCAGGAUCUUCCCACUGGUUAGUACCCAGUAGAUAUGAAGGAAGGUUGGACACACCUGGCUGGAGCUGUGUCAGGAGGAUCUUGCGGGGCGCGUGGAGAUCGCCCGGGUUGUAUUGUUUUUUGUUGUAUGAUCAGAUUAGAUGGUUGUAUAGGGACUAAAAGUAUUUCUUUUGUGGAUGUAUUUACUGUAUGUUGGAAGACUGUACCUAUACCAAUA